ACUUUAAGUUCUAGAACGCGCCCGAUCUCGUCUGAUCUCGGAAGCUAAGCAGGGUCGGGCCUGGUUAGUACUUGGAUGGGAGUCCAAUCCAUUCUUUAAGGCAACUGGAAGGC
rnacentral:rRNA from 1 species